rnacentral:rRNA from 1 species
GAUGAACGCUAGCGGGAGGCUUAACACAUGCAAGUCGAGGGGUAAAUGGCAGCAAUGCUAUGAGACCGGCGAACGGGUGCGUAACGCGUAUGCAACUUACCUUAUGCAGGGGGAUAGCCCGUGGAAACGCGGAUUAAUAUCCCAUAGAUCAGUGGUAUCGCAUGGUACAGCUGGUAAAGCUCAGGUGGCAUAAGAUGGGCAUGCGUCUGAUUAGCUGGUUGGUAGGGUAACAGCCUACCAAGGCGACGAUCAGUAGGGGUUCUGAGAGGAUUAACCCCCCAACUGGUACUGAGACACGGACCAGACUCCUACGGGAGGCAGCAGUGAGGAAUAUUGGUCAAUGGGCGGGAAGCCUGAACCAGCCAUCCCGCGUGAAGGAAGAAGGCCUUAUGGGUUGUAAACUUCUUUUCUGUUUGAAGAAUAAGCUUGUCGAGACAAGUGAUGCCGGUAGGACAGGAAUAAGCAUCGGCUAACUCCGUAGCC